rnacentral:rRNA from 1 species
UACGUAGGGUGCGAGCGUUGUCCGGAAUUAUUGGGCGUAAAGGGCUCGUAGGCGGUCUGUCGCGUCGGGAGUGAAAACUCAGGGCUUAACCCUGAGCUUGCAGUGGGUACGGGCAGACUAGAGUGCGGUAGGGGAGACUGGAAUUCCUGGUGUAGCGGUGAAAUGCGCAGAUAUCAGGAGGAACACCGGUGGCGAAGGCGGGUCUCUGGGCCGUAACUGACGCUGAGGAGCGAAAGCAUGGGGAGCGAACAGG